rnacentral:rRNA from 1 species
UACGUAGGUGACCAGCGUUGUCCGGAUUUACUGGGCGUAAAGAGCGCGCAGGCGGUCGUUCAAGUCGAGUGUGAAAGCCCCCGGCUCAACUGGGGAGGGUCAUUCGAUACUGAUCGACUGGAAGGCAGGAGAGGGAAGCGGAAUUCCCGGUGUAGUGGUGAAAUGCGUAGAUAUCGGGAGGAACACCAGUGGCGAAGGCGGCUUCCUGGCCUGUUCUUGACGCUGAGGCGCGAAAGCUAGGGGAGCAAACAGGG